AAGACUAUAGACCUGCGGAGUACCUGCGGAAGGAUCAUUACCGAGUUAGGGUCUUCUCAGGCCCGACCUCCCAACCCCAUGUUUACUUGGACUUUGUGUUGCUUCGGCGGGCCCGUCUCGCGAGAGACCGCCGGCGGCCCCCGGGAGACCGGGGCCUCUGGCCCGCGCCCGUCGACAGCCCAACUCUUCAAACUCUGAACCAUUCGUGUCUUUGUCUGAAUCUUGAAAAACAAAUAAAAG
rnacentral:misc_RNA from 1 species